rnacentral:rRNA from 1 species
AGAGUUUGAUCAUGGCUCAGGAUGAACGCUGGCGGCGUGCCUAACACAUGCAAGUCGAACGGAGUUAUGAUGAAACCUAGUGAUUCAUAACUUAGUGGCGCGGGUGAGUAACGUGUGGGUAACCUGCCGUAUACAGGGGGAUAACACUUAGAAAUAGGUGCUAAAACCGCAUAAGCGCACAGGAUCGCAUGAUCCGGUGUGAAAAACUCCGGUGGUAUACGAUGGACCCGCAUCUGAUUAGCUGGUUGGUGAGGUAACGGCCCACCAAGGCGACGAUCAGUAGCCGGCCUGAGAGGGUGAACGGCCACAUUGGGACUGAGACACGGCCCAAACUCCUACGGGAGGCAGCAGUGGGGAAUAUUGCACAAUGGGGGAAACCCUGAUGCAGCAACGCCGCGUGAGUGAAGAAGUAUUUCGGUAUGUAAAGCUCUAUCAGCAGGGAAGAAAAUGACGGUACCUGACUAAGAAGCCCCGGCUAACUACGUGCCAGCAGCCGCGGUAAUACGUAGGGGGCAAGCGUUAUCCGGAUUUACUGGGUGUAAAGGGAGCGUAGACGGUUAAGCAAGUCUGAAGUGAAAUGCCGGGGCUCAACCCCGGAACUGCUUUGGAAACUGUUAAACUGGAGUGCAGGAGAGGUAAGUGGAAUUCCUAGUGUAGCGGUGAGAUGCGUAGAUAUUAGGAGGAACACCAGUGGCGAAAGCGGCUUACUGGACUGUAACUGACGUUGAGGCUCGAAAGCGUGGGGAGCAAACAGGAUUAGAUACCCAGGUAGUCCACGCCGUAAACGAUGAUUACUAGGU